GUGGAGGAAAUUAAAUUCCAGUCACGUCUGAGGUCCUCUGCUCUGCUCCCCACACCAGGUCCCAGUGGAGGCUGAGAGCCCCUGGCCUUCCUACAUGUGGCCUUCCCCACACCUUGAGGGCCUGGCCACCUCCACCAACAAAACUCCAGGGCCCCCUCCUAGGCUGGGAGAAAUUCCUCAUCACUCUUCUGUCCUGGGCUACUUUAAAGGUCCAUCUAGGACACCCAGCAUCAUCUCUGCAUUUUGGCGUCUACAAAAUACAGCAAGAGAUUUAAUUUUCAGCCCAGUGAGACGGUGGAGGAGAGGCGAGUCAUGCCACUGCAGUUCCUCGCUAUGCCAUUCAUACAGAGCAUUCUCCAUGCCCAGGAGUCCAGGAGUCCAGUGGGCCCAUGAUGCCCAGGAGUUCCUCGACACUCAGGGAGGUGCGGAAGACGUACUUAAAACCUGA
rnacentral:lncRNA from 1 species